AGGCGGGACGACCCCCUGGGAGGUGGACUUUGAAAAAGACAGACACAGACAGACACAGACAGACACAGAGAGGAGGCCAGGCCGGGGCCACGGGGUUGAGCGCAUGUUACAAUGUGCGAGGACCCCGGUUCGAGCCCCUGGUCCCCACCUGCAGGGGGAAAGCCUCCGGUGAAGCAGAGCUGCAGGUGUGUCUGUGUCUCCCCCACCCCUCCCAAUUUCUCUCUGCCUAGCUAAUAACAAACAAAAUAUUUUUAAAAAAAACAAAAAACGUUAAGAGCAGCAGGUGUCUAUCUUCCCCUUCCCUCUUAAUUUUUAUCCAAUAUAUAUUUUUUAAAGUAAGAAAAUGAAAAAAUAAUUUAAAAAAAAAAGAGAGAACCAGAAAGAGCUCCCAGCUCUGCCCAGUGGCGGGCGCCGCCCCCUCUCUGGCUGCCCGGCCCGCUGCGCCCCUCGCCCCGCUGCAGCCACGGUCACGGUCACGGGGGCAGGUGGCAGGUGCGCGGCGCUGGAAGGAAAGCCCGGUUCAAAGAGAAUCCCCGCCUCAACCUUCCACAGAUCGACCUUCCACGACCUCCCACACACACACACACACACACCACCACCACCACUGCCACCACCACGGGUGCGACUGUCCAGCCCGCCUGGUCACUUGAUUCCUCCCUUCCACCCUGCAGAAACCUGCCUGCUAUUUUUCUUCCGCGUGUCCUGGGGCGUGUGACUACAGUCUCCUCUAGGCCUGCUGACAGAGCGUUUACACCUGUCUUGAUAAGACGAGAAACUGUAUCCUGUGCCAACAGCUGUACGUAAUUAACCAUCAACCUCCAAUAAAACGUAAGGAGAAGUCAGGAGAAGGCUGAAGGGGAGUUGAGUCAGAGGAAGAUCCCAAGUUCACAGAAGGUGUGUGUGUUGACACACGUCAUGAGGACAUAGGAGAGUGACAGUCUUGUAAACCAUCACUUCCCCAGUAAAGUGAAUUUAUUUGUUUGUUUGCCUUUAACCAGAGCGCUGACU